UGCAGUCGACGGAGUUCUUUGGUGAAGUUUUCGGAUGGAUCUGAUUUAACUUAGUGGCGGACGGGUGAGUAAUGCGUGAGCAACCUGCCCUUCAGAGGGGGACAACAGUUGGAAACGACUGCUAAUACCGCAUAAUGUAUUCGGAAGGCAUCUUCUGAAUACCAAAGGAGAAAUCCGCUGAGGGAUGGGCUCACGUCUGAUUAGUUAGUUGGUGAGGUAACGGCUCACCAAGACUGCGAUCAGUAGCCGGACUGAGAGGUUGAACGGCCACAUUGGGACUGAGAUACGGCCCAGACUCCUACGGGAGGCAGCAGUGGGGAAUAUUGGGCAAUGGGCGAAAGCCUGACCCAGCAACGCCGCGUGAAGGAAGAAGGCCUUCGGGUUGUAAACUUCUUUUAAGAGGGACGAAGAAGUGACGGUACCUCUUGAAUAAGCUACGGCUAACUACGUGCCAGCAGCCGCGGUAAUACGUAGGUGGCGAGCGUUAUCCGGAUUUACUGGGUGUAAAGGGCGCGUAGGCGGGAAUGCAAGUCAGAUGUGAAAUCCAGGGGCUUAACCCUUGAACUGCAUUUGAAACUGUAUUUCUUGAGUGUCGGAGAGGUUGACGGAAUUCCUAGUGUAGCGGUGAAAUGCGUAGAUAUUAGGAGGAACACCAGUGGCGAAGGCGGUCAACUG
rnacentral:rRNA from 1 species